rnacentral:rRNA from 1 species
CUGGCUCAGAUUGAACGCUGGCGGCAGGCUUAACACAUGCAAGUCGAGCGGAGAGAGGUAGCUUGCUACUGAUCUUAGCGGCGGACGGGUGAGUAAUGCUUAGGAAUCUGCCUAUUAGUGGGGGACAACAUUUCGAAAGGAAUGCUAAUACCGCAUACGUCCUACGGGAGAAAGCAGGGGAUCUUCGGACCUUGCGCUAAUAGAUGAGCCUAAGUCGGAUUAGCUAGUUGGUGGGGUAAAGGCCUACCAAGGCGACGAUCUGUAGCGGGUCUGAGAGGAUGAUCCGCCACACUGGGACUGAGACACGGCCCAGACUCCUACGGGAGGCAGCAGUGGGGAAUAUUGGACAAUGGGCGCAAGCCUGAUCCAGCCAUGCCGCGUGUGUGAAGAAGGCCUUAUGGUUGUAAAGCACUUUAAGCGAGGAGGAGGCUACUUUAGAUAAUACCUAGAGAUAGUGGACGUUACUCGCAGAAUAAGCACCGGCUAACUCUGUGCCAGCAGCCGCGGUAAUACAGAGGGUGCAAGCGUUAAUCGGAUUUACUGGGCGUAAAGCGCGCGUAGGCGGCUAAUUAAGUCAAAUGUGAAAUCCCCGAGCUUAACUUGGGAAUUGCAUUCGAUACUGGUUAGCUAGAGUGUGGGAGAGGAUGGUAGAAUUCCAGGUGUAGCGGUGAAAUGCGUAGAGAUCUGGAGGAAUACCGAUGGCGAAGGCAGCCAUCUGGCCUAACACUGACGCUGAGGUGCGAAAGCAUGGGGAGCAAACAGGAUUAGAUACCCUGGUAGUCCAUGCCGUAAACGAUGUCUACUAGCCGUUGGGGCCUUUGAGGCUUUAGUGGCGCAGCUAACGCGAUAAGUAGACCGCCUGGGGAGUACGGUCGCAAGACUAAAACUCAAAUGAAUUGACGGGGGCCCGCACAAGCGGUGGAGCAUGUGGUUUAAUUCGAUGCAACGCGAAGAACCUUACCUGGCCUUGACAUAGUAAGAACUUUCCAGAGAUGGAUUGGUGCCUUCGGGAACUUACAUACAGGUGCUGCAUGGCUGUCGUCAGCUCGUGUCGUGAGAUGUUGGGUUAAGUCCCGCAACGAGCGCAACCCUUUUCCUUAUUUGCCAGCGAGUAAUGUCGGGAACUUUAAGGAUACUGCCAGUGACAAACUGGAGGAAGGCGGGGACGACGUCAAGUCAUCAUGGCCCUUACGGCCAGGGCUACACACGUGCUACAAUGGUCGGUACAAAGGGUUGCUACCUAGCGAUAGGAUGCUAAUCUCAAAAAGCCGAUCGUAGUCCGGAUUGGAGUCUGCAACUCGACUCCAUGAAGUCGGAAUCGCUAGUAAUCGCGGAUCAGAAUGCCGCGGUGAAUACGUUCCCGGGCCUUGUACACACCGCCCGUCACACCAUGGGAGUUUGUUGCACCAGAAGUAGCUAGCCUAACUGCAAAGAGGGCGGUUACCCACGUGUGGCCGAUGACUGGGGUGA